GACGAACGCUGGCGGCGUGCCUAAUACAUGCAAGUCGAACGCAGUGGGGACGGGUGAGUAACACGUGGGUAACCUCCCAUCAGAGGGGAUAACACUUGGAAACAGGUGCUAAACCGAUACUGAUGGAUGGACCCGCGGUGCAUUAGCUAGUUGGUGAGGUAACGGCUCACCAAGGCCACGAUGCAUAGCCGACCGGGGAGGGUGUUGGGCCAAGCGGGGACUGAGAAACGGCCCAGACUAGUACGGGAGGGAGCAGUAGGGAAUGUUCGGCAAUGGACGAAAGUCUGACCGAGCAACGCCGCGUGAGUGAAGAAGGUUUUCGGAUCGUAAAACUCUGUUGUUAGAGAAGCGGUAUCUAACCAGAAAGCCACGGCUAACUACGUGCCAGCAGCCGCGGUAAUAC
rnacentral:rRNA from 1 species